GUGCUAACUUCCACAGCACAUAUGCUAAUAUGGAAACAAUACAGAGAAGAUUAUUAGCAUGGCCCUUGUGUAAGGAUGACAAGCAAAUUUGUGAAGCAUUCUAUAUUUUU
ensembl:snRNA U6 U6 spliceosomal RNA